rnacentral:rRNA from 1 species
CAAGUAUACAAAGAAAUUAUUAUGGAAUCAUAGCUAUAUAUUAAAUAGAGCCACUAAGAGCCAACCUAAAAAUAAUUCUAAUAAUAAAUUAUAUAUCUAAAAAACGAAGUGAAUUGAAAUAUCUUAAUAACUUCAGGAAAAAAAAUCAAAAGAGAUUUCUUAAGUAAUGUGAAUGAAACAGAAUAAGUCUUGUUUUUGUAUUAGGUCUUUUUAUAUUCUCUAUUUUUGAUUGCUCUAGCAUUUUGUUAUAAAAAAAAAAUUAAUGCUUGCUUGUAAUACUAAACAAGCUUAGGUAGUUAUCAACAUAAAAAUAUGAAAAAGACACAUUGCUUGUUAAAUCAUACGAGCUGAUGCUGCGUACAUAAAGGAAAAAGUAAAAUGGAGUGCAUAUCUGUUUGAAUAAAAGGGGAACCUUCCUCUAAGACUAAAUAUAAUAUAUAAGCGAUAGCGAAUAGUACCGUGAGGGAAAUGAUUGAAAUAGUAAUUUUAUAAGCAGCUCAAAGAUGGUUUAAAUAAACAAUGAGAGCGUACCUUUUGCAUAAUGGGUCAGCAAGUUAAUAUUCGAUGCGAGCAAUAAUGCAAAGAUAAAACAAUUAUGAUAUAAUAAUGUAGUAUCGAAAUUAGACCCGAAACCUAGUGAUCUUACCAUGAUCAGGGUUAUAAAAGUCCGAACGGGUUAUCGUUGUAAAGAUAUCCGAAGAAUCGUGGUAAGUUAGUGAAAGACAAUUCUGACUAGGAUAGCUGGUUUUCUGCGAAACCUAUAUAAGUAGGUAAUUUAAAUAGAAUAUCAGAAGGUACAGAAUUGUGAUCUCAUGCAACCAGUAUUUAUUAAUAUAUUAAUAAAAAAAAAGAACAACUUGUUUGUGUACUUAUACUAGGUUAUCCUACGUAAGUAUUCACGCAUGUUUAUCUUUUUAGGGAUAUUAUAAUAUUAACAAAAAUAUACUUUUUGUGGACAUUGGGGGGUCGUGAAGACUCUAUCAGUGAGUAUUUGUUCUCGGAAGGACUAGAUAUGUAUAUUGAAUAAUCGGACAUAGUACGAUAAGGUUGUAUGUCUAAAGGGAAAUAGCCCAGAACAAGAGUUAAUAAGGUUCCAAAAUUUUUGUUAAGUGAAAUUAAGGCAGUAUUUAUCCCAAUCGGCCAGGGAAUAGGCUUAGAAGCGGCCAUUUUUUGAAGACCUCGUAACAGAGCACUGGUUUUAUAUUUUAUGGAUAAAAGCACCGAAAAUUUAACGGAUCUAAACAAAAUACCGACACCUUGUCCAUAUAUAUUAAUGUGUAUAUUAUAUAUUGUAUAUAUGGGGUAGCGGAACAUUGGGCGUGAAACAGCCAUUUUUAAUCCUUUAUAAGGAUUAAAUUGCCUAGAGUUUUUUUAUUAAUCUCUAGACUAAAUAAGCCCAAGUGAUAAUGCUGACAUGAGUAACGAUAAAGGAUCAUUAAUACAUAAAAUAUUAGAGAAUCCUCGCCUAAAGCUUAUGGAAUUUAUUAAAGUUACGGCCUCUAAGUUUAUUUUUUUGUCUUAGCUUCCGAUUAUUUAUAUAUAGUAUAUAUUUAAUAUCUACGUCUAAAUAGUCGAGAGUUAUGACAAAUUACCUAAUGGUAUAGACGAUGAGAAAACCUAGAGUUUACAGUAAUUAACGUUUUUUAUUUACGUAUUAACUGGAACUCCGCUUAUUCUAUUGAAUUGUUAUUUUAAUAAUCUAUUCUUAAAGGAAAAACGGAAGAUCUUUACUAAUAUUUUAAGUAAAUUAUGUGAAAAAUGUUCUGGAAAACUGUAAGCUCCGUAAGUAAUAUAAAAAAAGUAAAACAAAGAUAUAUUGCAAGCUUAUGCUAUAAUACCGUACCUAAAUACUAACACAAGUGAGCAAGUAGAGAAUACGAAGGCGUUCGAGCUAACAAUCAUUAAGGAACUCGGCAAAUUGACUCUCGUAACUUCGGGAUAAGGUGGGCCAUUUCUUCUGAUUAAUAUCAGGUAAGAAAGAGGAGGCAUAGAAUGGUGUUGUACGACUGUUUAAUUAAAACAAAGCACGCUGCGAAGAAAUAAAUUCGAUGUAUUGAGUGUGAUCUCUGCCCGAUGGCGGCUGGUUAACUAAUUUGCUUAGUUAAAUAAAAUAAACUAGGCUUUGAUGGAAACCCCGUUCAAUGGCGGCCUUACCUAUAAGGGUCCUAAGGUAGCGUAAUACCUUGGCCGUUAAAUGCGGUCUUGCAUGAAUGAUGUAACGAUACAACAGCUGUCUCUAUGAUUGGCUCGGUGAAAUUGGAAUAACUGUGCAGAUACAGUUUACCUCUAGUUGGACGAGAAGACCCUAUGCAGCUUUACUGUUGCUAGUUACCGAGUAUGAUAUAAUGAGUUGUAGCGUAUAAGGUAAUUAAUAUAAAAUUGAAACACCUUUACUUCAUUUAUCAUAUUAUAUAAACCUUACAAGCAAAUUGCCAGUAAAAUCAAUAAAUAUGAUUACUGGUUGUAAUAAAUGAUAGGAACAAUUGCUAGGUGGCAGUUUAUGCGGGGCACAGAUCCCAUAAAGAGUACCUGGGAGUAUCCAAAUUUACUUAUCAAGUUUAACGGCUUAAUCUUGCUUUACUGUUUGACUUACAUGUCUUUCAGUUGCGUAAGCGGGGCAUAUGAUCACAAGAUGCAGAAAGGAAAGGUCUUGGAUUAUUGAAAAAGUUACGCUAGGGAUAACAGGCUAAUCGCGCCAGAGAGUUCAAAUUGAGUGCGGGGUUUGGCACCUCGAUGUCGGCUUAGCUCAUCCACAUGAAUGUAGGAGUCAUGAAGGGUCCGACUGUUCGUCGAUUAAAGAGCUACACGAGCUGGGUUAAAUACGUUGUGAGACAGUAUGGUUUCUAUCCUCUAGAGGAAGUUGGAAUAAAUUAGGGAUAGCCCCUUGUACGAGAGGAGUUGGGUAUAUUAACCUAUGGUUUACCUGUUGUUUGUUUUGCCAUAUUAUUGUAACUUAUAGAGACAAUCUCUCCAUUUGUUAUAGCCUCUGAGUUUAUAACCAAGAACGCAAUAUUUUAGGUGUAAUAGCUUAUGCUGGCAAUUACUUUUCACUAAAGUAACAUUUACUUAGGCAGAAAUAAACUGAAAUAGAUGAUAUGUCUAGUAAAAAGGCACGGCAGGAAAGCUACGUUAGUUAAUGAUAAGUGCUGAAUGCAUAUAGGCACGAAACAUACCUUAGGAUAUUCUCAUAUAUACGUAGUUUAAUACUACAAUUU